rnacentral:rRNA from 1 species
GAUGAACGCUGGCGGCGUGCCUAACACAUGCAAGUCGAGCGAACGGACGAGAAGCUUGCUUCUCUGAUGUUAGCGGCGGACGGGUGAGUAACACGUGGAUAACCUACCUAUAAGACUGGGAUAACUUCGGGAAACCGGAGCUAAUACCGGAUAAUAUUUUGAACCGCAUGGUUCAAAAGUGAAAGACGGUCUUGCUGUCACUUAUAGAUGGAUCCGCGCUGCAUUAGCUAGUUGGUAAGGUAACGGCUUACCAAGGCAACGAUGCAUAGCCGACCUGAGAGGGCGAUCGGCCACACUGGAACUGAGACACGGUCCAGACUCCUACGGGAGGCAGCAGUAGGGAAUCUUCCGCAAUGGGCGAAAGCCUGACGGAGCAACGCCGCGUGAGUGAUGAAGGUCUUCGGAUCGUAAAACUCUGUUAUUAGGGAAGAACAUAUGUGUAAGUAACUGUGCACAUCUUGACGGUACCUAAUCAGAAAGCCACGGCUAACUACGUG